UUUGUCCUACGGGGGGCAGCAGUGGGGAAUAUUGCACAAUGGGGGGAACCCUGAUGCAGCGACGCCGCGUGGUUGAGGAAGUACUUCGGUAUGUAAAGCCCUAUCAGCAGGGAAGAAAAUGACGGUACCUGACUAAGAAGCCCCGGCUAACUACGUGCAAGCAGCCGCGGUAAUACGUAGGGGGCAAGCGUUAUCCGGAUUUACUGGGUGUAAAGGGUGCGUAGGUGGCGGGGCAAGUCAGAUGUGAAAGCCCGGGGCUAAACCCGG
rnacentral:rRNA from 1 species